rnacentral:rRNA from 1 species
GACGAACGCUGGCGGCGUGCCUAAUACAUGCAAGUCGAGCGCAGGAAAUCGACGGAACCCUUCGGGGGGAAGUCGACGGAAUGAGCGGCGGACGGGUGAGUAACACGUAAAGAACCUGCCCUCAGGUCUGGGAUAACCACGAGAAAUCGGGGCUAAUACCGGAUGGGUCAUCGGACCGCAUGGUCCGAGGAUGAAAGGCGCUUCGGCGUCGCCUGGGGAUGGCUUUGCGGUGCAUUAGCUAGUUGGUGGGGUAAUGGCCCACCAAUGCGACGAUGCAUGGCCGACCUGAGAGGGUGAGCGGCCACACUGGGACUGAGACACGGCCCAGACUCCUACGGGAGGCAGCAGUAGGGAAUCUUCCACAAUGGACGAAAGUCUGAUGGAGCAACGCCGCGUGAACGAUGAAGGCCUUCGGGUCGUAAAGUUCUGUUGUAAGGGAAGAACAAGUGCCGCAGGCAAUGGCGGCACCUUGACGGUACCUUGCGAGAAAGCCACGGCUAACUACGUGCCAGCCGCCGCAGUAA